rnacentral:rRNA from 1 species
AUUUUUAUGGAGAGUUUGAUCCUGGCUCAGGAUGAACGCUGGCGGCGUGCCUAAUACAUGCAAGUCGAGCGAACAGACGAGGAGCUU